CUCGACCAACUGAUCCAGCCAGGCACCCCCUCUACCUGCUUUACGUUUUCCUCCUGAUGUGUCUCCUUUCUCUUCCCCCCUGCCCUCCUCACAAGGCUCAGCCUCCCCAGCUUCCCCUCAUCCCUGUCUCUCGACUGGCUUCCCCUCCCGCCAGCCACAAAUACUCUCUUCCUUACAACUUUGCGCUCUCUCCCCUCACGUUGGUCUGCCCAUCUGCCACCCCCUCUAGCCGGGGUUUGUCCCUCUUUCGUCCCCACCCACGGAGUGUCAGUCCCUAGUGGCCUGACUUAGACCUCUCAUGUUUCCAUUCUCAUCACACGCAAUCUGGAAACUCACCCUCAGAGCAGAAGGAGGGCUCUGGGGUGCAGCCCCCAGGACAUCUUUGUUUCACACCCCUUUCUCUUCCUCUAACGAAGCAGUGACAGGCUUCUCUGGUCCCUUAUUUGAGAGAAAGACAGAAUGACAAGAAGCUAUUGCAUGGGAUGGGCGUGGAGGGCACAGGGCAUGUUUUGCUGUCUCAGUGGUUACAGAGCCCCAUAUCUACAGAGAACGAGGGAAGUACCAGUUAUGUUAUCAGGAGAAGGGCUCAUUCAGGACCUCUCCCAGAACUCUGUGUUUUUGGAAUGGCUACAGUCACUUACAGAUAGAAAAUCUGAGGAUCAGAGAGGUUAGGUGGUUUGCCCACAGUCACACAGCAGUGGAGCCAUCGAUGGAGCCUGGCCUCAUGUCAAAGCCCUUGUUCAUUCUAUUGUACAGAGGGUUGCCAUGGACUGCUUUUUCCUGUCUUAACCAUCUGAGAAGGUCUCUCCCCAUCAUCUAGCACCUCAGCAUUUGUUUCUCUCUCUACUAAUUUGCAUCUCAUUUCCUCUAGAAAAGUUUACGGUGUACUCCCCUUCGCUUCCCCGCCUGUCCCGGCCCGCACACUUCUCUGCCCACGUCUUGGUGACGUCACCAGCACCGCGGGAAAAUUCCAGAGAACCUCCCCACUCUGUGGAGCUUCGGGAUUCAAGCUGUCUGGAGUCAGGGCCAAAGUUUCCUACCCUUGUGAGAUGCUUAUAGAAACCUGCACUCGUGACCUCAGGGUCUGCUUCAAGGCUGCUGUGAUGAUUGAAACGGCGUGUGCGACUUUAGAGAGUGCUGUGUAAACCUGGCAUGCGACGAGCAUGGUGAGCGGAACGUGAGUCUCUCCUACCACCCCUGGGGUGCAACUCCUUCCCGACUUCAACUGUUGUUUGCAAAGCUGGGAUCUCGUCCUUGCGAGCCUGGAGAGUGGAAACAUCUCGUCAUGGUGGUUCAAUGAGGGUGUUUUUGGCUGAUCAGCAACCCCGUGCAGUUCUCCUCCAAGCUGUGACUCAGGGAUCUGGGUUUCUUCCAUCUGGUGGCUUUGCCGUGCCCUAAGCCCUCGUCAGAGUCUUCUCCUGGAGCGGGGGCUCUGCGUUCGGCCAGAUGGCAAGCGGAGAGAGAGCAGGGAAAUGGCAUGGGCUGUUUUAGGAUCCAGGCUUGGAAGUGGCAUCCAUCAGCGCCACCCGCGUCCCACUGGCAAGGCACCGUCACACGGCAACACUUGGAUGCAACAAGUCCGCAGAUGGUCUCUAUGGUCUUGUGUGGCCGAAAAGAAAACAAGCUAGUUGGCACAUACACACCAAUGUGUCUGUCAUAGUACCUUAUGAAGACAACCCCUCUUAUAACAGCCUAGAACACUUAAGCCCACUGAAACAGAGGGAGGGCCUGCACACCCGAAGGAAGGCUGGUGAUAGAUGAAACAUCCCUUCGCUGUUCCCAGCACCCCCGUACUGGGUUGCGCUAAUAAAGAGCC